GGGGCACUAGUAAAAUUAAUUACACAGCCCUGUCAGAGCUAAGUUAUAGACCCACCCCUAUGUGCCCUA
rnacentral:tRNA from 1 species